GAUGAACGCUGGCGGCGUGCCUAAUACAUGCAAGUCGAGCGAACGGACGAGAAGCUUGCUUCUCUGAUGUUAGCGGCGGACGGGUGAGUAACACGUGGAUAACCUACCUAUAAGACUGGGAUAACUUCGGGAAACCGUAGCUAAUACCGGAUAAUAUUUUGAACCGCAUGGUUCAAAAGUGAAAGACGGUCUUGCUGUCACUUAUAGAUGGAUCCGCGCUGCAUUAGCUAGUUGGUAAGGUAACGGCUUACCAAGGCAACGAUGCAUAGCCGACCUGAGAGGGUGAUCGGCCACACUGGAACUGAGACACGGUCCAGACUCCUACGGGAGGAAGCAGUAGGGAAUCUUCCGCAAUGGGCGAGAGCCUGACGGAGCGACGCCGCGUGAGGGAUGAAGGUCUUCGGAUCGUAAAACGCUGUUAUUAGGGAAGAACAUAUGUGUAAGUAACUGUGCACAUCUUGACGGUACCUAAUCAGAAAGCCACGGCUAACUACGUG
rnacentral:rRNA from 1 species